rnacentral:snRNA from 1 species
CCAUAAUAAGGAAUGAUACAAAGAAGAUUAGCAUGGCCCCUGCACAAGGAUGACACACAAAAUUCAUGAAGCAUUCCAUAAAAAA